rnacentral:rRNA from 1 species
AUACGUAGGUGACAAGCGUUAUCCGGAUUUACUGGGCGUAAAGGGCGUGUAGGCGGAGAUGCAAGUCAGGAGUGAAAUCUAGGGGCUCAACCCCUAAACUGCUUUUGAAACUGUAUCCCUUGAGUAUCGGAGAGGCAGGCGGAAUUCCUAGUGUAGGGGUGGAAUGCGUAGAUAUUAGGAGGAACACCAGUGGCGAAGGCGGCCCGCUGGACGACAACUGACGCUGAGGCGCGAAAGCGUGGGGAGCAAACAGGAUUAGAUACCCUGGUAGUCCACGCUGUAAACGAUGAAUACUAGGUGUGGGGGGACUGACCCCCUCCGUGCCGCAGUUAACACAAUAAGUAUUCCACCUGGGGAGUACGAUCGCAAGAUUGAAACUCAAAGGAAUUGACGGGG